rnacentral:rRNA from 1 species
UACGAAGGGGGCUAGCGUUGUUCGGAAUUACUGGGCGUAAAGCGCACGUAGGCGGCUUUCUAAGUCAGGGGUGAAAUCCUGGAGCUCAACUCCAGAACUGCCCUUGGUACUGGGAAGCUCGAGUUCGGGAGAGGUGAGUGGAACUGCGAGUGUAGAGGUGAAAUUCGUAGAUAUUCGCAAGAACACCAGUGGCGAAGGCGGCUCACUGGCCCGAUACUGACGCUGAGGUGCGAAAGCGUGGGGAGCAAACAGG